GAUAGAUAGAUAGAUAGAUAGAUAGAUAGUUGGUGCCAAUUUCCUCCCUUGCAGCCAGAGGCUGUAUUGCGGAGGAACCAGAGAGGUGAGAUCGGACGUCAGCAUAUGAAGGCGCACUAUUGUGGCUUAGGAUGUAAAUUUGCUUCAGGAAGUAACCAAUAACUGGGAAUGUGAUCUAGUUUAUGUGAUUAUAUCUCAACAGAUGGGCGUAUGGUAUUCUACUUUGGGAGAUUUUAACAAUCGGUGGGACGCCAUAUCCUACAAUAAGUAAUCAUAAACUUUUUCGGGCUCUUAAAGCUGGAUACAGAAUGGAGAAACCACAGAUGUGCAGAGAUGAGAUGUAUGAAUUGAUGCGACAGUGUUGGAAAGAAAAACCCACUGAAAGGCCUUCAUUCAGUGUCAUCCGGGAACAAGUUGAACGGAUGAUGCUACACGACUGUCCUUAUUUGGAUAUGGCUGACGCAAACUAUAGUUACGCGCCCCUUUAUGAAACUCUCCGUGACGAAAAGAUGGGACUGGAAACCACAGCUUUGUAACUUAGAUUUAAAGUUGUAUGUAAGAUUUUUCGACGUCAUUAUACGUCUUAUAAAUGUUAACCCUCAGAUUCAAAGGUCAAUUCAUACCUCAUCGUGAUGUGAGGGAGGUCCUCCCCAUGAUUUUUCUUUCUGGACAAAUCAAAUUAGUAGGUACUCUGUUCUUUAAUAACCCUCAACUUGCUUUGAUAUGUUUUAUCAUUUGGCUAUGAUUCAUACGUCAUCUUGGAUCUGCCAUCUUGGAUCCGCCAUUUUAGAAUUCAUCACCCUCGCAGGAGGUCAAUAAAAUGAUAAUAAAAGAUAAAAAAACUACACGCCUAUAGCUCUAUACAAACUGUAUGCCUUGUAAAGAUGCGAUUAAUUCUAUGAUUUUAUCAGUUAUGUUUUUCAUAUAUAAAUAUUGGGUUAGGGUUAGGGUUUGGGUAAUCCUGAUUUUGCUUGCGUACAAAGCGACCUUAAAUUUCACCAUAAUGUUAAAAAAUUUGAGUGUAGCAUUUCUAAUCUUGAUAAAAUCAUUAGCAACUAGAAACUGAUGAAAAAUUAAUUUAUCAAUAAGUGAUGUAAUACACGUAAUGUUGAGAUGUAACAAUAGUAGAUCAUAAUAGAAUAACGUCUUAAAUGCACAGUGUAUUAUUAUUAGUAUUAUUUUUGCAACUUUCCUUUUGUAGUACACUGUAUUUUUUUUUUUAAACUCUACACUGUAUGUGGCCUAGGUUUAAGUAAUAAAGUUGCCACUAAAGGCAAAAAAAUAAAUUAAUAAUUAAAAAAACUUAGCAAAAUAUUACGGCUG